ensembl:lncRNA
AUCAAGAACAAAAAGGAAGACAUUUAUACUCAAUUAAAAAAAAAAAAAAAAGAGUUGGUACUGUGGAAAGUAAGGUAGGAAACAGAAGAGAAGAGACUAUUGUAACCAGAUUAAGAAUAGGGCAUAAUAAAUUAAAUAGCACUCUUCAUAUAAUGGGGAAACAUCCUACUGGGUUUUGUGAUCAGUGCCAAAUACCAGAGACUGUACAUGUGCUUAUUAAUUGUUCAAAAUAUGGAUUACAGAGGGUAGAUAUGAUAAAAGACAUGGGAAAAAAUAGGACUAACAGGACAUGGAGUAACGAGUAUAAUGGACUGCAGUAGGAGUGAAAUACUUGAUUCGUUUUCUGACUAAAACAGGACUACUUGCAAGAAUAUGAUGACUAAAGUAUAUGGGAAAUAACUAGAACCAGAAGAUGGCAGUAAUGCAACGUCAAGGAUGCAAGCUGCCGUUAAAACCCAAAGAAGAAGAAGAAGAAGAAGAUAGUGCACUGUAUAGUGGAUAGGGAGCGGUUUCGGACACGGUAAGACGGAAGGUGGUUUACUUUGCUGGCGUUCAACUUCCUACUUUUUAACAUGACGUUAUUUGUUAAACUUAAAACACGUGGACUAAUCGUGGUUUUUAUGGUGAUGACGAUAUGUAGAUUUUCAAGUUCUCCUCCUCUACAGAAGAGGUCCAGCAAUUGCCGGUGUUCUCUGUCUUGUGCUGAAUUACCUGAGAUUUCAAAAAACGACCGCAUUGAAGUUCAUGUGCAAGAUCAAUCAAGAGUAAUUUAUAAUAAAGAACAAGAAGUCUCUAGUUUAUUUAAUGAAGGACAUUGUUCUGUGGUCGUGCCAGAAUGUUUACAAGAGGACAAAAAGUUCGAACUUAGAAUAUAUGGUCAGAGGAAACAGCCAAUCUAUGAAAAAAUGGAUUUAAAGCCUGGUAAGGUCAUAUUUGAUCUAAGGAAUGUUUUAAAGAAUUGGUUCACUCAAUUUAACUUGAUCAUUUAUCCCCAUUCCAUUCCAAUAAAGUCUUUUUUAUUUCUUUUGAGACCGAAAAGGAAAAUCAGGAUGUGCUUAAACAGCUUUUCUAUAAAGUAA